UACGUAGGGUGCGAGCGUUGUCCGGAAUUACUGGGCGUAAAGAGCUCGUAGGUGGUUUGUCGCGUUGUUCGUGAAAACCGGGGGCUUAACCCUCGGCGUGCGGGCGAUACGGGGCAGACUUGAGUACUGCAGGGGAGACUGGAAUUCCUGGUGUAGCGGUGAAAUGCGCAGAUAUCAGGAGGAACACCGGUGGCGAAGGCGGUUCUCUGGGCAUUACCUGACGCUGAGGAGCGAAAGUGUGGGGAGCGAACAGG
rnacentral:rRNA from 1 species